ACUUCCGGCAGGCGGCGGGGCCCGGAAGCGCCGGGCGGCGCCGGCGAAUCCCGCGGCGCCAGGUCGGAGCGGGGCCGGAGUAUGCGGGGCGGCUGGCGGUCUGCGGCGCGCGGCGCAUUCGUUCCCCCGCGGCGGUGGCGGCGGCGCGCUGCGGCUCUCCAGUGAGCGGUGGAGGCCGGAGCGGCGGGCUGGGUGCCGGGCGGGCGGGCCGGGGGCGCCGGGCGCGGGGCAGCCAUGUGGAGCGGCCGCAGCUCCUUCACCAGCCUGGUGGUGGGCGUGUUCGUGGUCUACGUGGUGCACACCUGCUGGGUCAUGUACGGCAUCGUCUACACCCGCCCGUGCUCCGGCGACGCCAACUGCAUCCAGCCCUACCUGGCGCGGCGGCCCAAGCUGCAGCUGAGCGUAUACACCACGACGAGGUCCCACCUGGGUACUGAGAACAACAUCGACCUGGUCUUGAAUGUGGAAGACUUUGAUGUGGAGUCCAAAUUUGAAAGGACAGUUAAUGUUUCUGUACCAAAGAAAACGAGAAACAAUGGGACGCUGUAUGCCUACAUCUUCCUCCAUCACGCUGGGGUCCUGCCGUGGCACGACGGGAAGCAGGUGCACCUGGUCAGUCCUCUGACCACCUACAUGGUCCCCAAGCCGGAAGAAAUCAACCUGCUCACUGGGGAGUCUGAUGCACAGCAGCAGCUCGAGGCGGAGAAGAAGCCGACGAGCGCCCUGGAUGAGCCAGUGUCCCACUGGAGACCGCGGCUGGCGCUGAAUGUGAUGGCAGACAACUUUGUUUUCGAUGGGUCUUCCCUGCCUGCCGAUGUGCAUCGGUACAUGAAGAUGAUCCAGCUGGGGAAGACCGUGCAUUACCUGCCCAUCCUGUUCAUCGACCAGCUCAGCAACCGUGUGAAGGACCUGAUGGUCAUAAACCGCUCCACCACUGAGCUGCCCCUCACCGUGUCCUACGACAAGGUCUCGCUGGGACGGCUGCGCUUCUGGAUCCACAUGCAGGACGCCGUGUACUCCCUGCAGCAGUUCGGGUUUUCAGAGAAAGAUGCUGAUGAGGUGAAAGGAAUUUUUGUAGAUACCAACUUAUACUUCCUGGCGCUGACCUUCUUUGUCGCAGCGUUCCACCUUCUCUUUGAUUUCCUGGCCUUUAAAAAUGACAUCAGUUUCUGGAAGAAGAAGAAGAGCAUGAUCGGCAUGUCCACCAAGGCAGUGCUCUGGCGCUGCUUCAGCACCGUGGUCAUCUUCCUGUUCCUGCUGGACGAGCAGACGAGCCUGCUGGUGCUGGUCCCGGCGGGCGUUGGAGCCGCCAUCGAGCUGUGGAAAGUGAAGAAGGCAUUGAAGAUGACUAUUCUUUGGAGAGGCCUGAUCCCUGAAUUUCAGUUUGGCGCUUACAGCGAAUCUGAGAGGAAAACCGAGGAGUACGAUACUCAGGCCAUGAAGUACUUGUCAUACCUGCUGUACCCUCUCUGUGUCGGGGGUGCUGUCUAUUCCCUCCUGAAUAUCAAGUAUAAGAGCUGGUACUCCUGGUUAAUCAACAGCUUUGUCAACGGGGUCUAUGCCUUUGGCUUCCUCUUCAUGCUGCCCCAGCUCUUUGUGAACUACAAGUUGAAGUCAGUGGCACAUCUGCCCUGGAAGGCCUUCACCUACAAGGUUACCAGAAACAAUAGGAUUCCAGUCCCAGCAACUGGGAUUCACCUUCCUCCCGUGGGGCCCUGCAGGCUUUCAACACCUUCAUUGAUGACGUCUUUGCCUUCAUCAUCACCAUGCCCACGUCUCACCGGCUGGCCUGCUUCCGGGACGACGUGGUGUUCCUGGUCUACCUGUACCAGCGGUGGUGAGUGCGGCUGUGCACGCUCAGCUCUUGGUCCGUCUCAGCGGCGUGGCGCUGCUGCUGAACAGAAUGACGGCUUUCACGGCACCCUGCGCCUGUGUGUCCAUUUCAAGGCAAAGAUAAUUUGCGGGUGGUGGUUUUUCCUGUCUUGCCUAAACUUGGGUUCCAGUUGCCCAUGAUAUGACCUGGCAAGAAACUGUUGCAGCUCUGUCUCCUCAUUGUGCUUUAGAAAUGCUCAUUUCUAUGUGAUUAGCCACUGAAAGCAAAUUUCUCUCCUUAAGCUAUUUACUUAUUCACAGUCAUUGCUAUUGAGCAGAACAGAGACCGUAGCACGACUAAUCCAUACUUGGCACUAGCCUUGAGGUGUCCAGCUGGCAGUCCUGGGGUCCAGGUCUCCAGCGUCGGGAACAGGCUCUGGGCCACUCUUGGGCUGUGUGUCCCUGCAGGGCAGAAUGUCACUGGAGAGCGCACUCACCUCAACAUUGGCCACACCCCUUAAACCAGCCACCCGGGCCUCUGAAGAUGACAUUGUGUUGACCUCCUGGCUUGGCCUUCAGGUCGAAGGCUGACGGCUAAGGAAAAGGCUUUGUGGAAUUUUCUAAACGCAGAGGCUCAGAUCCCGCCCCGGGCCUCGGAAUUUUCUAAACGCAGAGGCUCAGGUCCCGCCCCGGGCCUCCUGCUUCCCUCCAGGGCUGACAUCUGCCCUCUCAGUCAGCAAGAGCUCCCUCAGCUCUGCUCUGCCAGGGUAGGAGCCAGGGAUCUGGGGCUCCCCUCAGGAGGGUUGUAUCCGGACCACUGCAAGCACUGCCCUCACCUCCAGUCCCGGCCCCAGGCCUUGUCCAGGGGUGGAAGGAGUGUGUGUCACCCCCAAGGCCUAUUGCCAAGUGUCUCAGAGCCUCCUGGCUGUGUCCUUUCUCUGACCCUCGAGAUCCCUCUUCCCAUCUCCCCCCGCCCCGACCAGGAGGCCACCACUCAUACACCAUGGCUGUGACACUUCCGUGCGCCCUUCCCAGGCCAUGGCCCCCCUCAAGGCCUGGGCAUCCUCCUAGUGCUGGAGAGAGAGCCUUUUCCCCCAGGUCGUCCUGGGGGGUCCUGCCUCGGUCUGGGCUGCCGGCCCUUGGGGAGCGCAGUGCUCCCAUCCCCGCCUGUCUCCACACACAGCUUUGCCGGGUGUUUCGGAGCCUCUGUCCCGGCCAGCGUGAGGCUGGCAUUGUUCGGCCUGUUUUAACUCUUUGUUCAGGUGCAGUUGGCACAUUCACACAGUGGCGCAUGGCCACCCUUGCCUAGUUCUCCAGGCCUGGCCGCCGGCUGCCCACCCACCCCCUUGCUGUCUCGUGCAGCCCCUGCACUGGAGCUCCAGCCUGGGUCUCAGCAGGAAGGGCUGUUUCCCCGCUUUAUCCUGUGGAUAAACGCAGAGUGAACGAGUUCGGGGAGUCCUACGAGGAGAAGGCCACACGGGCGCCCCACACAGACUGAAGGCC